CAGUCGCCGCGGUAAUACGUAGGUGGCAAGCGUUGUCCGGAAUUAUUGGGCGUAAAGGGCUCGCAGGCGGUUUCUUAAGUCUGAUGUGAAAGCCCCCGGCUCAACCGGGGAGGGUCAUUGGAAACUGGGAAACUUGAGUGCAGAAGAGGAGAGUGGAAUUCCACGUGUAGCGGUGAAAUGCGUAGAGAUGUGGAGGAACACCAGUGGCGAAGGCGACUCUCUGGUCUGUAACUGACGCUGUGGAGCGAAAGCGUGGGGAGCGAACAGGAUUAGAGACCCGUGUAGUCCCUGUCUCUUAUAA
rnacentral:rRNA from 1 species